rnacentral:hammerhead_ribozyme from 1 species
GCACUGCUGAGGAGUCCCAUACUAGGACGCAACGGUCGUCCAGCAAUUUCAGGUUUUCUACGGUGAUACUAGGACGAAACGGCCGUCCAGUGC